GAGUUUGAUCAUGGCUCAGAACGAACGCUGGCGGCAUGCCUAACACAUGCAAGUCGAACGAGACCUUCGGGUCUAGUGGCGCACGGGUGCGUAACGCGUGGGAAUCUGCCCUUGGGUUCGGGAUAACAGUUGGAAACGACUGCUAAUACCGGAUGAUGUCUUCGGACCAAAGAUUUAUCGCCCAAGGAUGAGCCCGCGUAGGAUUAGCUUGUUGGUGAGGUAAAAGCUCACCAAGGCGACGAUCCUUAGCUGGUCUGAGAGGAUGAUCAGCCACACUGGGACUGAGACACGGCCCAGACUCCUACGGGAGGCAGCAGUGGGGAAUAUUGGACAAUGGGCGAAAGCCUGAUCCAGCAAUGCCGCGUGAGUGAUGAAGGCCUUAGGGUUGUAAAGCUCUUUUACCCGGG
rnacentral:rRNA from 1 species